GAUGAACGCUGGCGGCGUGCCUAAUACAUGCAAGUCGAGCGAACAGACGAGGAGCUUGCUCCUCUGACGUUAGCGGCGGACGGGUGAGUAACACGUGGAUAACCUACCUAUAAGACUGGGAUAACUUCGGGAAACCGGAGCUAAUACCGGAUAAUAUAUUGAACCGCAUGGUUCAAUAGUGAAAGACGGUUUUGCUGUCACUUAUAGAUGGAUCCGCGCCGCAUUAGCUAGUUGGUAAGGUAACGGCUUACCAAGGCGACGAUGCGUAGCCGACCUGGGAGGGGAGUCUGCAACGCCGGAACUGGAACGCGGCCCAGACUACAACGGGACGCAGCGGAGGGGAAGCUUCCGCAAGGGGAGGAAGCCUGACGGGACAACGCCGCGUGAGGUAUGAGGAGCUUCGGAUCGGAAUACACUGUUAUGAGGGAAGAACAAAUGGGUAGGUAGCGAAUCACUACUUGACGGUACCUAAUCAGAAAGCCACGGCUAACUACGUG
rnacentral:rRNA from 1 species